rnacentral:rRNA from 1 species
GACGAACGCUGGCGGCGUGCUUAACACAUGCAAGUCGAACGAUGAAGCUAGAGCUUGCUCUGGUGAAUUAGUGGCGAACGGGUGAGUAACACGUGAGUAACCUGCCCCGAACUCUGGGAUAACUGCUGGAAACGGUAGCUAAUACUGGAUACGACCUACGAAGGCAUCUUCUGUAGGUGGAAAGAAUUUCGGUUCGGGAUGGACUCGCGGCCUCUCAGCUUGUUGGUGAGGUAAUGGCUCACCAAGGCGACGACGGGUAGACGGACCGGAGAGGGUGACCGGCCACACUGGGACUGAGACACGGCCCAGACUCCUACGGGAGGCAGCAGUGGGGAAUAUUGCACAAUGGGCACAAGCCUGAUGCAGCAACGCCGCGUGAGGGAUGACGGCCUUCGGGUUGUAAACCUCUUUUAGUAGGGAAGAAGCGAAAGUGACGGUACCUGCAGAAAAAGCACCGGCUAACUACGUGCCAGCCGCCGCAGUAA